rnacentral:rRNA from 1 species
GGGUGAGUAACACGUGAGUAACCUGCCCCUGACUCUGGGAUAAGCGUUGGAAACGACGUCUAAUACUGGAUAUGAUCACUGGCCGCAUGGUCUGGUGGUGGAAAGAUUUUUUGGUUGGGGAUGGACUCGCGGCCUAUCAGCUUGUUGGUGAGGUAAUGGCUCACCAAGGCGACGACGGGUAGCCGGCCUGAGAGGGUGACCGGCCACACUGGGACUGAGACACGGCCCAGACUCCUACGGGAGGCAGCAGUGGGGAAUAUUGCACAAUGGGCGAAAGCCUGAUGCAGCAACGCCGCGUGAGGGAUGACGGCCUUCGGGUUGUAAACCUCUUUUAGUAGGGAAGAAGCGAAAGUGACGGUACCUGCAGAAAAAGCACCGGCUAACUACGUGCCAGCAGCCGCGGUAAUACGUAGGGUGCAAGCGUUGUCCGGAAUUAUUGGGCGUAAAGAGCUCGUAGGCGGUUUGUCGCGUCUGCUGUGAAAUCCCGAGGCUCAACCUCGGGCUUGCAGUGGGUACGGGCAGACUAGAGUGCGGUAGGGGAGAUUGGAAUUCCUGGUGUAGCGGUGGAAUGCGCAGAUAUCAGGAGGAACACCGAUGGCGAAGGCAGAUCUCUGGGCCGUAACUGACGCUGAGGAGCGAAAGCGUGGGGAGCGAACAGGAUUAGAUACCUGGUAGUCCCCGCCGUAAACGUUGGGCGCUAGAUGU